GACGAACGCUGGCGGCGUGCUUAACACAUGCAAGUCGAACGGAAAGGCCCUGCUUUUGUGGGGUGCUCGAGUGGCGAACGGGUGAGUAACACGUGAGUAACCUGCCCUUGACUUUGGGAUAACUUCAGGAAACUGGGGCUAAUACCGGAUAGGAGCUCCUGCUGCAUGGUGGGGGUUGGAAAGUUUCGGCGGUUGGGGAUGGACUCGCGGCUUAUCAGCUUGUUGGUGGGGUAGUGGCUUACCAAGGCUUUGACGGGUAGCCGGCCUGAAAGGGUGACCGGCCACAAUGGGACUGAGGUACGGCCCAGACUCCUACGGGAGGCAGCAGGGGGGAAUAUUGCAGAAUGGGCGGAAGCCUGAUGCAGCAACGCCGCGUGCGGGAUGACGGCCUUCGGGUUGUAAACCGCUUUCGCCUGUGACGAAGCGUGAGUGACGGUAAUGGGUAAAGAAGCACCGGCUAACUACGUG
rnacentral:rRNA from 1 species